GGCGCUGCUAUAAUGCAGUCGAGCGAACAGAUGAGAAGCUUGCUUCUCUGAUGUUAGCGGCGGACGGGUGAGUAACACGUGGGUAACCUACCUAUAAGACUGGGAUAACUCCGGGAAACCGGGGCUAAUACCGGAUAAUAUUUUGAACCGCAUGGUUCAAUAGUGAAAGACGGUUUCGGCUGUCACUUAUAGAUGGACCCGCGCCGUAUUAGCUAGUUGGUAAGGUAACGGCUUACCAAGGCGACGAUACGUAGCCGACCUGAGAGGGUGAUCGGCCACACUGGAACUGAGACACGGUCCAGACUCCUACGGGAGGCAGCAGUAGGGAAUCUUCCGCAAUGGGCGAAAGCCUGACGGAGCAACGCCGCGUGAGUGAUGAAGGUCUUCGGAUCGUAAAACUCUGUUGUUAGGGAAGAACAAAUUUGUUAGUAACUGAACAAGUCUUGACGGUACCUAACCAGAAAGCCACGGCUAACUACGUGCCAGCAGCCGCGGUAAUACGUAGGUGGCAAGCGUUAUCCGGAAUUAUUGGGCGUAAAGCGCGCGUAGGCGGUUUCUUAAGUCUGAUGUGAAAGCCCACGGCUCAACCGUGGAGGGUCAUUGGAAACUGGGAAACUUGAGUGCAGAAGAGGAGAGUGGAAUUCCAUGUGUAGCGGUGAAAUGCGCAGAGAUAUGGAGGAACACCAGUGGCGAAGGCGGCUCUCUGGUCUGUAACUGACGCUGAUGUGCGAAAGCGUGGGGAUCAAACAGGAUUAGAUACCCUGGUAGUCCACGCCGUAAACGAUGAGUGCUAAGUGUUAGGGGGUUUCCGCCCCUUAGUGCUGCAGCUAACGCAUUAAGCACUCCGCCUGGGGAGUACGACCGCAAGGUUGAAACUCAAAGGAAUUGACGGGGACCCGCACAAGCGGUGGAGCAUGUGGUUUAAUUCGAAGCAACGCGAAGAACCUUACCAAAUCUUGACAUCCUUUGACCGCUCUAGAGAUAGAGUCUUCCCCUUCGGGGGACAAAGUGACAGGUGGUGCAUGGUUGUCGUCAGCUCGUGUCGUGAGAUGUUGGGUUAAGUCCCGCAACGAGCGCAACCCUUAAGCUUAGUUGCCAUCAUUAAGUUGGGCACUCUAGGUUGACUGCCGGUGACAAACCGGAGGAAGGUGGGGAUGACGUCAAAUCAUCAUGCCCCUUAUGAUUUGGGCUACACACGUGCUACAAUGGAUAAUACAAAGGGCAGCGAAUCCGCGAGGCCAAGCAAAUCCCAUAAAAUUAUUCUCAGUUCGGAUUGUAGUCUGCAACUCGACUACAUGAAGCUGGAAUCGCUAGUAAUCGUAGAUCAGCAUGCUACGGUGAAUACGUUCCCGGGUCUUGUACACACCGCCCGUCACACCACGAGAGUUUGUAACACCCGAAGCCGGUGGAGUAACCUUUUAGGAGCUAGCCGUCGAAGUGACAAG
rnacentral:rRNA from 1 species